rnacentral:rRNA from 1 species
GAUGAACGCUGGCGGCGUGCCUAAUACAUGCAAGUCGAGCGAACAGACGAGGAGCUUGCUCCUUCGACGUUAGCGGCGGACGGGUGAGUAACACGUAGGUAACCUACCUAUAAGACUGGGAUAACUUCGGGAAACCGGAUCUAACACCGGAUAAUAUUUCGAACCGCAUGGUUCGUUAGUGAAAGAUGGCUUUGCUAUCACUUAUAGAUGGACCUGCGCCGUAUUAGCUAGUUGGUAAGGUAACGGCUUACCAAGGCAACGAUACGUAGCCGACCUGAGAGGGUGAUCGGCCACACUGGAACUGAGACACGGUCCAGACUCCUACGGGAGGCAGCAGUAGGGAAUAUUCCGCAAUGGGCGAAAGCCUGACGGAGCAACGCCGCGUGAGUGAUGAAGGUCUUCGGAUCGUAAAACUCUGUUAUUAGGGAAGAACAAAAGUGUAAGUAAAUGUGCACGUCUUGACGGUACCUAAUCAGAAAGCCACGGCUAACUACGUG